CUUUAAUUUAAGCCUUAGUUGUUUAACAUGUGGUUUUUAUGAGAGGAGGUAACAUACAUUAAGAACACAAUAUGCAAAUCACACAGGAAACAUCCAUCUAAAAAAAAAAUAAAUAACUGAGAAACAUCAAUAUUUUCAAAUUUUAUUGUUUAUAAUACAGUAUGAUGUGAUUUACAAACUGGAAAAUAAAUUGAAUUAACUUCAAAACAGACUACUAAGUUAAAAUAAUAAAAAUCACAACAGAAGCCAGCACUCCAUAUACAGGAUAGUGCUAAGAAAACGAAUGUCCAGCAUUUUACAUCGAAAUGUUAAAUUAUUUUAUUCCAUACGGGUACAAGAAGAGCUGAACACAGCUUGUAAGAUUUGUCACUCUCCCAGUGUUGAAUAAUCUUGAACUUUUGAAAUGUGCUUUAUUUUGCUCAGUUUUACAAGUCUAUUACUUCCAGAAAGGUAUAUUACAAAGGUAUUUAAAAAGUUAUUCUCUCCAGCCUGGUAAUAGCUGCAUUGUAACGGGGUGUAUUUUCUAAGUAAAGAUCUCAAACGACUCAUGGGCUACAGUAACAUUCACUGUGUAGCUGGUAUAAUGUCACAAGUAAUUUUAUACACAGGGGACUAUUUUCUUUUAUAAACAAAGUCUUUAGCUAAUCAAAAAUCAUUUCACAUUAACAUUUGCUUUUUUACCUAUAAAAUAAAGUGGUUAACUAGAAAACAGAUCUACAGUAUAUUUUACAAUCUGCAUGUUAUCAGAAAUAUGCUACACAGUUUGACUUGUAGUCAAAAAACAGCAUAUUGAGGUUUCAUUGAGUUCCGUGAAACUCACCUUAAAAGCAAUAAGCGUUUUACAGCAACAAACAUUCUAUGUAAGAGUUUGUGCAAUGGGAACUCUGGAUCCAAAUCAACCAACCCUAGAUUUAACAAACUUUUUGUCGAACAAAUAAUAAUGAAUUAUCUAAAAGCGAGCCAGUGGUCGUGUACCCAAAAUUAAACGGGUUAAAUGCAAAAUCAGCUUCAGAAGAAAUUAGGGAAAUUUCGGGCCUCUGAUGAAUGAUUGAUGACAUUCCUGAGUAUCCGCUUCCAACUGCCUGAGAGAAAUUGGAGUUGUAUGUCAAUACAGCUUGGAUGCUAUCGCCAGUACUGAGCUGCCUCUUAAACACCGGUUCUUUAGAAAACGUAAUAUAGGCAUACAUUACUCUGCAAUAAUACAGGAUGAAUUAUAAACCAGAAUCAUGUAAUACGUGCACAUAUACGGAAAAUGCCAACCCACCAAUAUGGGCUAAUAUGUUUUUCAGGGGAGAGAAGUUAUUGGUUACAUUUUUAAAGGUCUUAUACACAAUGAAAAAAGAUUUUAAAAAAACAACUAAUAUUGUCAAACAAAAGGGUAAAUUGGUCACUUUAUUGCGAUAUUUCCUGCAAUUACAUUAGGGGGAGAAUGGAUUCUGUGUUAAGCUAUUCCUGUCUUGAUAUCUCCAAUUUACAGAAAAAGAAUCUUAUAUAAAUGCAGGACAUACUUUUAAAAAAUACACACAGAAACAAAAUGUUUAUAUAUAAAAAUAAUACUAUAUUAACCGGCACAGAUUAUAUAGGACGCAAGGCAGUAUAACAUUGGGGAAUGAGCAUUAGAUGCUAAAGGCUAAAUCAUUUUAUUAGAACAAAUAAAGAGUUUUAAUCUCCAACAUCCUUUUGAACCUUGCAGGUCCCCUAAAAAAAAACAAAACAAAAAAAACUUUGAUAUCAAACAUCCUUAUCUCUAUUCAUUUUAUACAAUUUCUCAAAACAUCAAAAUAAAGUGAAAAAAGCAAGUUGUUUCACAGUGGAUUUAUAAUUUAGAACAAAAAAAUAAAAUUAAAAAAAUGAUUUAUAAGCAGAAUAGAGAAGUGUGGAUAAUGUAGAUAAGAACGGGUCAUUGUGAAUAAAGAUAACUCUUACUUGGAGUUAAGAAUUCAAAUAGUGGGCACUUUUAUUGUAUUAAAAACAAAAAUAAUAAAAAAAAGUAUGAAAGGCAGACUAUAAAAAUCUUCAUUUAGGAGGAAAAAGGAAAAUAUUUUUUAAGAGAUCAGAGUGGUCCUUGCCAUCAGUGAUGCAUUACAGAUGUCAAUAAUCUGAAACAAAUAUGGGCAGUACAGCACAAAAAGGGUAUUUCGAGCUAUGGUUUUAAAAAGAACUAUCACUGGGAGUAACCCCUGGGUUAUAGGUUGACAGCUCCAGCCUUUGAAUUUUGCUCUAGAAUUCGUCUUUAUAAAUAACCUUUAGUCACAGAACAGUGUGUGUGUAGUACAUUGAAAUUCUUAUGUUUCAGCGGUUUGUACAAUCUCUCUCUCUUAACGGUAUUUAUUGGGCUAAAUUUAAAAGUUAAAGCUUAAAAAGUACAUUGUACAUUCCAGGUUGGAUUUGACUAUUAUAUAUAUAUAUAUAUAUAUAUAUAUAUAUAUAUAUAUAUAUAUAUAUAUAUAUCCCAAACGGUUUGCACUCCUGGUAAACCUAGAUAAUUUCUAUCCCUGGUGCUGGUCUCACAAAAAUACACAAUCCAGAAUAGUGACCGCACUCCAAGGACUUGUAAGAAAACGUUUGAAAUAAUACUUAACUUUUAUUGAUUCAUUGAAAAAAAGGUCGACGUUUCAGUCCCACCAAGGGUCUUUUUUUUUUUUUCCGGCUGUCCCGUUGGUGGGAUUGAAACGUCGACCUUUUUUUUUUUUUUUACAAUGAAUCAAUAAAAGUUAAGCAUUAUUUCAAACGUUUUCUUACAAGUCCUUGGAGUGCGGUCACUAUCCUGGAUAUAGUGUGUGUGUGUGUGUGUGUGUGUAUAUAUAUGUUUAUAUAUA
rnacentral:lncRNA from 1 species